UACGUAGGGUGCAAGCGUUUAAUCGGAAUUACUGGGCGUAAAGCGUGCGCAGGCGGUUUUGUAAGUCUGCCGUGAAAUCCCCGGGCUCAACCUGGGAAUUGCGAUGGAGACUGCAAGGCUAGAAUCUGGCAGAGGGGGGGUAGAAUUCCACGUGUAGCAGUGAAAUGCGUAGAGAUGUGGAGGAACACCGAUGGCGAAGGCAGCCCCCUGGGUCAAGAUUGACGCUCAUGCACGAAAGCGUGGGGAGCAAACAGG
rnacentral:rRNA from 1 species